UACGUAGGGGCAAGCGUUGUCCGGAAUCAUUGGGCGGUAAGCGGCGUGUAGGCGGUCCGGUAAGGUCCGCUGUGGAAAGUCGAGGGCUCAACCCUCGAAUCGACCGGUGGAUACUGUCGGGCUUGAGUACGGGAGAGCGAGUGGAAUUCCUGGUGUAGCGGUGAAAUGCGCAGAUAUCAGGAGGAACACCGAUUGCGAAGGCAGCUCGCUGGAACGUUGACUGACGCUGAGACGCGAAAGCGUGGGAGCAAAGCAGGA
rnacentral:rRNA from 1 species